GCCGGGGUGGCGGAAUCUGGUAACGCGCCAGACUCGAAAUCUGGUUGCCCUUCCGGGCAGUAUGGGUUCAAAUCCCAUCCCCGGCG
rnacentral:tRNA from 1 species